ACGUUGAAGUUAAUUGACAGUGAUCUAAUUUCUAACUCAGAAAUGAGUGCAGCGCAGAGGUGGGCUAGGCCCUUGGAUGGAUUGAAAGGCUGAAGCGGCACUAACAGAUGUUAACUAAAAUGUUGCCCAAGUGUUUGAUCUGACUUUUUUCCACUUUUCUGAUCAAUGGUUGGACAGCUUUGGAUGCAUCACUCUUGAGCUUGGAGGAGGUGAUCCGUGAAUAUUAACUAGCUUUCUUCUUCCAGCAAGGGGAAAUGCCAGCUGUUGAAGAACUGGAAUCUGGGGUGAAGUCAGAUUGUUGGUGUAAUACUGUCUGUAAUUUCUUGGCAG